ACAAUUUUUAGCGACCGACGACAUUAUGUCUAAAAUUCGCUUACCAGGACUAAUAAGUAGAGUAAUUAAAGCUCUUUUCUUUAUACGUGUAAACACUAAGAGUGAGAAACCGUAAAACACUUUUGUUUUUAUGAUUUAAAAUGUUUUUCUUAUAAUUUUACCAUCAGGAUUUUGUAUUUCUGGCGAUUCGUGACAUUGUGUGUGAGCUGAGUCUGGAUCUAUUCAAGAAGUACAGGCCUUCUGUAAGAUAUCAGUGCAACUGACGUCAACAUCUAGUUCAACAGAGGACACCAAGGACAACACGUUUGCUUUCCUGGACUGUGCAGUUCUCAUAGGGACUGAUGGGAAGCCCCUCUCUCACUCACACACACACACACACACAUACCAAUGCCUGUUUGAUUCUCACCAGCCACUACAACACAAAUUGGGAGACAUCAGGACUACACCACAGGGUAGAAAGCCUCCCCACAUCAGCAGAAACCAAGAAUAAAGAAAUCGUCAUCUGAAAGCA